GAGAGCAGGAUACAGCCUUGUUGAGAGAUUUAGUAGUUGUGGACUGUUUUCUAUUUCAGCUAUGUUGGCUGGUAGAGUCUGGGGACAAUCCAGGAAGAAGUUAUACCCUGAAGACUGGGAAUUAGAGGGUGCUAGGUAAAAGGGCGGCCCAUGCAUGGGUGUUUGAAGAUUUCCUGGGCACCCCUUGGGCCCUCCCUGUGGAUCCAUCUAAAGGAGGGAAAGAUUUGGAAGAUGAGGGAUGACACAGAACUCUGACAGAUACCAUCACCCCAUGGAAGGAAAAAAUUAUGGGGAAGGUCCUGCUGGCCUCCACCAUCCAGGAGAAGCAAAGAGACUCAUCUUGACUCAUCUCAGCAGCCAUAACACAUUGUUACUUGAUGUUCCUGCUAUGCUCUCUAUCUCAUGUUGGGCUUGUCUGUUGCCCACUGUUCCCAUGAUUCCCAUGAGAGCAAUUAAAAACAAGAAUCAUUUAAGACCCUUGCAGUGCAGAACAGCAUUGUUGUUGGAAAAGCAGUGCUUCCCCAUGCAGAAGUGAGAGGCCACAGAAACAGCCUCUAGGAAGGAGGAUCUUUCCCCAUAUUUCUUCACCUUGACCAGGACAGGCUGCAAAUAAUCCACCAAGAUGGUCAAAGAGAGGUGUGCACCUUGUGCUUUCCAUCCUUCAGCAAUAUAUUGGAAGCAAUAUUCCCUCCUUCAGCAUCUAAAAAAUAGGUUGGUGGGAUUGCAUCUUCUGGGUUCCUGGGGAUUAGGCAGUGAGAUGAGAGCUACUUUGGGGUGAUGAUCAAGGAGAAAUACAGCAUUUCUGACCUCUUCAAGAAUAGUUUCUGUGAAAUGUUAAAUUUCCAAGUCUUUUUCUCUACGUGUCAUAUUUCUCCUCCCACUCUCCUUUGCUUUGAGGUGCUUAGAAAUGCUUGAAAUGGAAAUGCAUAUGAAAAAUAUUUAAUCACAGCUACAGCCCUGCGUGGAGCGUUCUGUUUAGCAAAAAGUCUGUAAUAUCUGCAUGUCAGCAACCACUUGGAGACAUUACCCAGGCUGUUAUCUCUAAUCGCCCAAAAAUGUUUUAUAACUCUAAGAAUAACAUUGACAGCCUUCCCUGGACCAACACAAUAUAGUCUUCACCACUUACAGCAGCUCUUGGAGUAGUGAGAAAAUAUCCAUCACAGUGCCCAAUGCUAAGAUCUGGCAGAUGUUGCUGUUAAUGGCAGUCAGCAUGCAGCUGUUUUCACAAUUGUUUAAAAAUCAUAUUCAAAGUGCUGAAAAAAAAAUGGAGCAGGAAUCAGUGUGAUCCAAUUUAGAAUGCAUAGCAGCAUUGGUGUACUAAUUAUAAUUUUGCCACAAGCAAUUGUCACAGUCAUAAAACUGCCAGUCUGUUUGGUGGUGGGCAGCUUUCUAUUUCACAGACAUCUGGCAGUAUCAGCAGAGGAUGAUUAGCUUGCCAGACUGCCGGCUGUGUGCAAGAACAGAAAAUCUCAGUGUUGAGAUAGACUGGAGAAACCAGUGAAUUCUUCAAUAGAAAUGGUGGGCUUGGGCACUGCAAAAGGGGCUAUCAUUUGUUAUUAAACAAAUAACGCAUUCUGGUCUCUGUACCUUCAGAAUACAGAUAGUUCUGAAUUGUUUAUGCCUGAAAAAGGAAAAAAAAAAAAAAAAGAAAAAAAAAAAGAUUCUAUUGUAGCAGGAAGGUAAGUCAUCUUUGCCAUGAGUUUCAUGUAUCAGGAAGGAUACAGUUGUGCUGCUGUAGGACAAGACUGAGGGCCAAAAAAUGACUUCCUCUCCUGAAUCACAGAAAUGGAGAUAUACCCUCUCAUAUACUUGUAAUUCAUUGGACUUUCCAAUGAUACAGAUCAGCACUGAUAAAAUGCCCCUUUGACACAGGCACAAUGUGGGAGCAUUGUACUUUCAUUGCAAGGCUUUCUAGCCAAUUUCAGUAUUUCAUUUCAAUAACAUGGCAAACUUUAUUUCAACUUAAUACAGUAAGAUGGAAUAGAAUUUAACAGAAUAUUAUUUCUAAAUCUCUACAUUUUCCAGUUUCACUUUACUGUCAGGUACAGUACAAGCAAGGUUCUUCCUUUGCCAUUUACUGUUGCUGUCUGAGCAGACAUGGGAAGCCACCACAUGCUCCUCUGGCUGCAAGCUCCCUGUUGAGCAGCACUACUGUCAUCUAAUAGUUUACCACUCAAGUAAAAGGGCUCAGCCUCUCAGAGUGCAGACCUGAAGAAUGCCAUGCUCUUAUUUCAGUGCAUGUUGCUUUCUAUAUUAUAAUAAAUUAAGCAUUUAAAAACUUGUAAGAGCUUGCAUGAAGACUUCAAAUUGAUUUUAGUUGACAAAAGUUAUCUGGAGCAAGGACUGUUUUCAUCUUACUGCGUUUGUAUAUUUUGUCUCAAUAAGGGAUUUGAUCUUU